rnacentral:rRNA from 1 species
UACGUAGGUGGCAAGCGUUGUCCGGAAUUACUGGGCGUAAAGCGUGCGCAGGCGGUUGUGCAAGACAGAUGUGAAAUCCCCGGGCUUAACCUGGGAAUUGCAUUUGUGACUGCACGGCUAGAGUGUGUCAGAGGGGGGUAGAAUUCCACGUGUAGCAGUGAAAUGCGUAGAUAUGUGGAGGAACACCGAUGGCGAAGGCAGCCCCCUGGGUCAAGAUUGACGCUCAUGCACGAAAGCGUGGGGAGCAAACAGG